AGGAGAGAACCAGCGUGUACCCAAUGGGCACAAAAGGGUACAUGCCCUAAAGUUUCAAUCAUUUGUUGCGCCAAAUGGUUUAAUAGCCAAUUUGUAUGGACCAGUUGUGGGUAAAAGGCAUGAUGCUGGUAUGUUAAGAAUGUCUGGCCUCCAUCAUAACCUUCAGCAACAUUCAUUUGAUACCAGUGGGCAACCACUGUGUAUAUAUGGCGACCUCGCCUAUCCACUCAGAAUUCAUCUUCAAGGAUGAAGUAAAGUCAGGGAAGCUGUGGAGUGGGUGUUUAGCAACAUUGUAACAUACUUCGCUUUCCUAGAUUUUAAGAAGAA